rnacentral:rRNA from 1 species
UACAGAGGUCUCAAGCGUUGUUCGGAUUCAUUGGGCGUAAAGGGUGUGUAGGUGGCGCCGUAAGUCGGGCGUGAAAUUUCGGAGCUUAACUCCGAAACUGCAUUCGAUACUGCGGUGCUUGAGGACUGGAGAGGAGACUGGAAUUCAUGGUGUAGCAGUGAAAUGCGUAGAGAUCAUGAGGAAGACCAGUGGCGAAGGCGGGUCUCUGGACAGUUCCUGACACUGAGACACGAAGGCCAGGGGAGCAAACGGG